CAGAGUUAUGAGAUUGAGCUGUUUUAUCUGGCAGGAACCUGCAGAGGGCUUGAAGAAGCUGAUGAUUUUAUACCUGGUCUUGUUGAAGUGGCUGCACUCGGCCGCUCAUUGGACCUUGGGGUGUUAUAUGACUGCCGCAAUGAUUCUUUCAGCUCAGAUGUCUCACUGUGGGAUGUGGAUACUGUAUCCUCUUUGAAACUGUCCAUUCCUCAGCCUUAUGUAGAUGUGAAGAUUUUAGACAGAGAUUCUCUGCAGGACAGAUUAAAAGCUCUGGACUUGACCACUGCUCUUAGAGCUAGCGUUGUAUCAGGACUAAUGGAGGUGGCUGGAGCUGCUGCCUUUC